CAAUCGAAUAGCAGUGUUUUGCAUUUUGCUUCUGCAAAAAGCCUUCCAAGCGAUUUAUCCAAGCGUUCUUUCAUCAUCGAAGUCACAGAAGAAGAUAACUUCAGUCUGAGAAUGGAGCCUAGACGAUCUACACGAGUUCGACAGCGCCCCCGGUGGUUCGCCGACUACGUUGUGGACUUUCCUGUGCGAAGGUCCAGGGUGAAGCCGAUGUUGGAGGCUGAUGAUGUUCCUCAGCAGCCUGAGAAGGUGGUGGUACUG